GUCGAACGGAUUAUUCUUUAUAGCUUGCUAUGGGGACAAUUAGUGGCAGACGGGUGAGUAAUGCAUAGGAAUCUACCUAGUAGUAUAGGAUAGCCACUAGAAGUGGUGGGUAAUACUGUAUAAUCCCUGCGGGGGAAAGAUUUAUCGCUACAUGAUGAGCCUAUGUUAGAUUAGCUAGUUGGUAGGGUAAAGGCCUACCAAGGCGAUGAUCUAUAGCUGGUCUGAGAGGAUGAUCAGCCACACUGGAACUGAGAUACGGUCCAGACUCCUACGGGAGGCAGCAGUGGGGAAUAUUGGACAAUGGGCGCAAGCCUGAUCCAGCUAUGCCGCGUGAGUGAGGAAGGCCUUAGGGUUGUAAAACUCUUUCAGUAGGGAAGAUAAUGACGGUAC
rnacentral:rRNA from 1 species